CUUGAAUGUACACUAUACACAUGUAGUAAUUUACAGCCAAAGUUAAAAAGAGAGACCUUUCGUUCCCUGUACUGUUGUGACCCCGAUUUCUAAAGAUGAACUCGAGAGCCUUGCUUAUCCUGUUGUGUUUGUUCUCACUGAUGAUUGCAGACUACUCUGUCCAAGGCCAGGAAACUUGCAUGACAUUCCGUGGGUGCUCACGGUGCAGAUCGCGAUGUACCGCCAGGGGCUAUUGGACUGGAUCUUGCAGAUACUCCUCUUAUUGUCCAAGAAUACGUGGAUACUGGUGCGAAUGUGUAGGGAAUUAUGGUUGAUGUAAAAAGAAAACAGAAGAAACAUUUAACACCUCAUAUAAUAAAUUGAACUUUCU